rnacentral:rRNA from 2 species
UUAAUUGAAGAGUUUGAUCAUGGCUCAGAUUGAACGCUGGCGGCAGGCCUAACACAUGCAAGUCGAGCGGCAGCACAGAGGAACUUGUUCCUUGGGUGGCGAGCGGCGGACGGGUGAGUAAUGCCUGGGAAAUUGCCCGGUAGAGGGGGGAUAACCAUUGGAAACGAUGGCUAAUACCGCAUAACCUCGCAAGAGCAAAGCAGGGGACCUUCGGGCCUUGCGCUACCGGAUAUGCCCAGGUGGGAUUAGCUAGUUGGUGAGGUAAGG